rnacentral:rRNA from 1 species
AACGAACGCUGGCGGCAUGCCUAACACAUGCAAGUCGAACGAGACCUUCGGGUCUAGUGGCGCACGGGUGCGUAACGCGUGGGAACCUGCCCUUAGGUUUGGAAUAACUCCCCGACUGGGUUGACAUUACCGGAUCAUGUCUUAGACCCAAAAAUUUUUCGCAUUUGGUUGGUCCCGAGUUGGAUUCGCUAGUGGUUAGGGUAAAAGCUUACUAAGGGGACGAUCAAUAGCUGGGUAGAGAGGAUGGUCAGCGACACUGGGAUGGAGACCCGGCCCAGACUCCUACGGGAUGGAGCAGUGGGGAAUAUAGGACAAUGGGCGAAGGCCUGAUCCAGCAAGGCCGCGAGAGUGAUGAAGGCCGGAGGGUUGUAAAGCGCUUGUACCCGGGAAGAUAAUGACAGUACCGGGAGAAUAAGCUACGGCUAACUCCGUG